UACUAGAGUAGCACUCGCAUAUCAAUAAGCGGAGGAAAAGAAACUAACAAGGAUUCCCCUAGUAACGGCGAGUGAAGCGGGAAGAGCUCAAAUUUGAAAUCUUAAAGGGUUUCCCUUUACGAAUUGUAGUUUAAAGAAGUGUUUUCUGUUGAGGUUUUGGUAAAAGUUCUUUGGAAUAGGACAUCAUAGAGGGUGAGAAUCCCGUAUUUGACCUUUACUUUCAACUUUGUGAUACACUUUCAAAGAGUCGGAUUGUUUGGGAAUGCAGUCCAAAAUGGGUGGUAAAUUUCAUCUAAAGCUAAAUAUUGGCGAGAGACCGAUAGCGAACAAGUACCGUGAGGGAAAGAUGAAAAGAGCUUUGAAAAGAGAGUUAAACAGUACGUGAAAUUGUCAAAAGGGAAGCGUUCGACACCAGUGUUGUUUUUCUGAAAAUCAAUUAAAGAACUGUUUAUGCUAAGUUGUUUAGACUUUAUCAGCUAACUGUUUAGUUUUGAGCUUUUCUUUAAUGCACUUUUCAGUUAACAAGUCAACAUCAAUUUCUUUUGCUGUAAAAAAGCUUGAGGAAGGUGGCUUGAGAUUCGUCUUAAGUGUUUAUAGCCUCUUGCCUAUGCAGUCGGAGAGAUUGAGGUCUGCAGCGUAGAUCCUUCGGGGCUAAAUGCAUUUGUGCUAAGUUAUAGCAUUUUAUAGACAACUUGUUGACUAUGAUUUGUCUUGUAGCUUACUCGCUUAUGUUAUUUUACCUACGCUUAGGAUGUUGAGCGCAUGUCUCUCUCU
rnacentral:rRNA from 1 species